rnacentral:lncRNA from 1 species
GAAGAGAUGAGGACAUAUGCAAGGUAUGCUUUUGAAUUUCGAGAAGCUGCCCUCCUCUGUUUUACUGAAACUUGGCUGCAAGCGGCUGCCCCAGACUCUCUUUUUGAUAUAAACGGCUUUUCACUUGUACGAGCAUACAGGAAUGAAAAUUCUGGAAAAAGCCGGGGAGGGGGGGUAUUUGUGUACAUAAAUGAGCGGUGGUGUCGUCAAUAUUCUGUUAAACUGGUAUUAUGUAAUAAUGACUUUGAACUGCUGGGUAUUGGGUUGAGACCAUUUUACCUCCCUCGGGAAUUUGGUUGCAUCCUGCUGUUUGUUGUUUAUGUUCCACCAAGCGGCAAAGUCCAUCGGGCUGCUGCUUCAAUAGCGGACAGUAUGUGCAAUUUACAACUACAAUUUCCUGAUGCUCCCACCAUUGUCCUUAGUGAUUUUAACACCUACAACCUGGAGAAAACUUUGCCAGGAUUUCAACAGGUUGUAGCAUGCGGAACGAGGAAGGAUAACAUACUGGACAAAUGUUACAUAAACAUGAGUAAUACCUACCAAUCUAGAAGCAAACCCCCAAUAGCUAAUUCUGAUCAUAAUGUGGUGCAUCUUAUUCCAACUUAUCGGACCAAACUAAAAAGCAGUAAACCUUUGAAAAGGGUGGUAAGGCACUGGACGCAGGACAGCAAAGAGGCUUUGGGAGCCUGUUUUGACUGUACUGACUGGGAGUUGCUGAGGGAGGGCACUUUGGACUCAGCAUGCUCAGUUACAACUGAUUACAUUAAUUUCUGUGUUGAGUCUAUUAUUCCUAUAAACAAUUAAGGUGUACCCUAAUAACAUAUCCUACAUAACUAAAGAUGUUAAAUGUAUAAUGUAUCAGAGGAAAAUAGCCUUUAAAAAUAAGGACAAACUGGAGCUGGAAAAGAGGGACAAGGAGGUGUGAGAGAUAAAAUUAGGAAGGCAAAGGAUAUUCAUAAGAGAUAUCUCGAAGUCUUUUAAGGCUAAUAACCCCAGAAAAAUGCAUGAGACCAUGAAAAGCAUGGCAGGUAUGCCCAGCA